UUGCCUCUAGGGUUAUUGCUGGGGCUCAGUGCCUGCACCAUGAAUCCACUGCUCCUGGAGGCCAUUUAUCCCCCCUUUGUUGCCCCUGUUGUAGCCUUGUUGUGGUUAUUAUCAUUAUUGUUGAUGUCGUUCGUUGUUGGAUAGGACAGAGAGAAAUGGAGAGAGAAGGGGAAGACAGAGAGGGGGAGAGAAAGACAGACACCUGCAGACCUGCUUCACUGCCUGUGAAGCGACUCCCCUGCAGGUGGGGAGUCAGGGCUCGAACUGGGAUCCUUAUGCCGGUCCUUGCACUUUGCACCACGUGUGCCUAACCCUCUGUGCCACUGACCAAGCCCCAACACACAAGGUUUUGAAUGAGUGGUUUACACUCCAGUCCUCUCUCUCCCCUUGGGGUAAGGGCCUCCUACAUGGUUCUCCAGAAUCUUUCAUAAUUUCUCAAGAAUAACUCCUAGGCAAGGGGUAGAUAGCAUAAUGGUUAUGCAAAGAGACUCUCAUACCUGAGGCUCCAAGGAACCAGGUUCAAUCCCCUGUACUGCCAUAAGCCAGAGCUGAGCAGUGCUCUGGUAAAAAAAUAAAUAAAAAUAAAAAAUAAAAACCUGCCAACACCCAUGUACAGUGGAGAAGUAAUUAAUUAUAGAAUCCAGACCUUCUACUUUCUGUACCUCAUAAUGAUCCUGGGUCCAUACUCCCAGAGGGUUAAAGAAUAGGGAAGCUAUCAAGGGAAGGGAUGGAAUACAGAGUUCUGGGGGUGAGAACUUGUGGGGAGCCACAUGUGCCCUCCAGGUUGCUAUUGGCAUGACCAGAGUCUUUGUUCACAGAUGGCCUUGCUUAAAAGUUAAGUUCCUGCUUCUUUACACCUUAGAGUCUUUGUUCACAGAUAAGAUAAGUUCCUGUCUCCCAAUUCCACCUCCCCAUGAAUCACCCAGGACCCUCCAAAUAAAAGCUGAUUACCAUGACAACACACCACUUCAAUCAACAGCCCCCAGCUGCUAACUCCCCCCUUGCCCUGGCCUUAAAAACAGCAUCUUUGGUGCUAAUAAACAGACUUGAUCAGAAUCUUGACUUGUCUCAUUUCUCUAGCGUGUCUUGUCCCCUUCCCUCUCCCUUCUUUCCUUGUCCUCACUCCCUCUCCUAGGUUAACCCACAUUGAAGGUCCCGUGGGACGGGACAGAUGGCACCGCAAAGUGCCCCAAGGAACGAGGGACCCCCCUGAAGGACUUCAUUACAGAACCACUGCGGAAAUUGCUAGCUAGCGAACUCAAGGAGACGGGCACUGAAGCAAGGUGCUCCAGGAACUCAAGGAGACGGGCAUGAAUUCAAGGUGCUCCAGGAACUCAAGGAGACGGCUGAUUUCAGUCCAGGACUCAGGCAAUAAGUUCCUGUCUCCCAAUUCCACCUCCCCAUGAAUCACCCAGGACCCUCCAAAUAAAAGCUGAUUACCAUGACAACACACCACUUCAAUCAACAGCCCCCAGCUGCUAACUCCCCCCUUGCCCUGGCCUUAAAAACAGCAUCUUUGGUGCUAAUAAACAGACUUGAUCAGAA